rnacentral:rRNA from 1 species
AUGGAGCAAUUGGAGAAGAGGAUGGAUGCUGCAGAACAACAAAUCAAAGAGCUGCGUGAAGAUCUUAAUCGGAGAUUUGGUCAGCUGGUUGAGAUGAUAAGAAAGGGUGUCCCCCCUGCUACCAAUGAAGGAGAUUCAUCUAAAGAAGAAGAAGAUGUUCAUCAAAGAAGCAGGAGAGGUAAUCUUGGAGCAAGACCGCCACAACAACGUGCUGUUCAACAUGCUUCAAGAAGGCCAAUUUAUGUUGAAACUUCUGAAGGUGAAGAAUAUGAUGAAGCCCUUGAAGAAGCUGAUCUCUAUGCAUAUCGGAGAGUACCCAACCCUACUACAUAUGCAAGGAAUACAUACAAGGUGAAAGCUGAGAUCCCAACUUUUAAUGGAAAUGUUGACAUUGAAGGGUGCCUAGAUUGGUUAUAUGAAGUGGAGACUUUCUUUGAGGUCAUGGAGGUUCCAGAAGAUCGUAGAGUUCCUUUGGUCGCAUACAAGCUGAAAGGAGGAGCCGGUGCAUGGCGGCAUCGCGUUCAAGAAGAGCGCAGGCUGAGAGGAGAACCUCGUGUGAGAACUUGGCGGCAAAUGAAAAGUCUCUUGGAAGGGAGAUUUUUGCCCGCUGAUUAUGACCAGAUCCUAUUUAUCCAAUUUCAAAAUUGUGCUCAAGGAAAUAGGACUGUUUCAGAUUAUACGGAGGAGUUUCUAAGGCUACAAGUGAGGUGCAACCUUGCUGAAACUGAAGAUCAACAAGUUGCAAGGUACAUCAAUGGUCUCAAUGAUGCUAUUCAAGAUCGAUUGAUGCUGCAACAAAUCUGGUCCGUUGAUCAAGCACAAGCUCUAGCCUUAAAGGCUGAGAGGUUUGUGAGGACAAGAAAGACAACUAAGGCUCCAUAUCCUCCAUAUCCUCAUACUGAAGGCUUGUCUAGGAGUCAGCCUAAUAGAGUGGAAGAAAAGACCGCUCCACCAAAGGAAAAACGACACAUCGAGAAGCAAACUAGAGGCAAGGGUAAGUCUAAUGAAGGCCCAAAAUGCUAUAAAUGUGGUGAAGAGGGACACAUAUCCAGCGGCUGCCCACUAAAAAAAAUUGUUAACACAACUAUCCAUGAUGGUGAAGGCGAUGAGGAAGAAUACGAAUCUGAAGACGUAGAGGGACAAGAGGUUUGUCAAGAAGGUGAAGAGGUGGUAUGUGUGAUUCAGCGUCUCCUAUGUUCCACACCACAACCUGAUGACACACAAAGGAAGAAAAUAUUUGAGAGCAAAUGCACAGUGAAUGGCAAGAAAGGAGUGAAUAUGAGGAUCACCAAACAAUGCAACCUGCCACUUUCCUUGGGCAAGCAUUAUCGCUCAAAUGUGUUGUGUGACGUAGUUGAUAUGGACGCUAGCCAUGUUCUUCUUGGGAGACCUUGGCAAUUUGAUGUGGAUACUACACACAAGGGCAAGGAAAACUCCUACUGUUUCAUUUGGAACAAGAGAAAGAUCAUCAUCUUACCAAACAAAACCGAAGGUAAUACCUCUAAGGAGGAGGGGAAAACUAUGUUAACUAUCUCCCAUACCUCUCAUGAGUUUAUGGAAGACUUGGAGGAGGCAGAUUUGUGUGCUGCACUUGUUGUAAAGGGAGAAGAGCACCUGACUGUUGAAAUUCCAGUAAAGGUACAUGGUUUAUUGGCAGAAUUUCAGAACAUACUUGGAGAGCCACAAGGCUUGCCACCGAUGAGAGGAAUUCAACAUAGAAUUGACUUAAUUCCGGGAGCAAGUCUUCCUAAUCUUCCACACUAUCAAAUGAGCCCAAAGGAGCAUAAUAUAUUGAAGGAGAAAGUGGAGGAAUUGCUGCAAAAGGGGCACAUUCGAGAAAGUAUUAGCCCAUGUGUUGUACCAGCCCUACUCGCGCCAAAGAAAGAUGGAUCUAACUGUUUUCUAGAGUCUUCUAGUUGUGAGUAG